GGGGAAUUUUGGACAAUGGGCGCAAGCCUGAUCCAGCAAUGCCGCGUGCAGGAUGAAGGCCUUCGGGUUGUAAACUGCUUUUGUACGGAACGAAAAAGUCUUUUUUAAUACAGGAGGCUGAUGACGGUACCGUAAGAAUAAGCACCGGCUAACUACGUGCCAGCAGCCGCGGUAAUACGUAGGGUGCGAGCGUUAAUCGGAAUUACUGGGCGUAAAGCGUGCGCAGGCGGUUCUGUAAGACAGAUGUGAAAUCCCCGGGCUCAACCUGGGACCUGCAUUUGUGACUGCAAAGCUAGAGUACGGCAGAGGGGGAUGGAAUUCCGCGUGUAGCAGUGAAAUGCGUAGAUAUGCGGAGGAACACCGAUGGCGAAGGCAAUCCCCUGGGCCUGUACUGACGCUCAUGCACGAAAGCGUGGGGAGCAAAC
rnacentral:rRNA from 1 species